rnacentral:rRNA from 1 species
UGGGGAAUAUUGGACAAUGGGCGAAAGCCUGAUCCAGCCAUGCCGCGUGUGUGAAGAAGGCCUUUUGGUUGUAAAGCACUUUAAGCGAGGAGGAGGCUACGUGGAUUAAUACUCUAGGAUAGUGGACGAUACCCGCAGAAUAAGCACCGGCUAACUCUGUGCCAGCAGCCGCGGUAAGACAGAGGGUGCGAGCGUUAAUCGGAUUUACUGGGCGUAAAGCGUGCGUAGGCGGCUUCUUAAGUCGGAUGUGAAAUCCCUGAGCUUAACUUAGGAGUUGCAUUCGAUACUGGGAAGCUAGAGUAUGGGAGAGGAUGGUGGAAUUCCAGGUGUAGCGGUGAAAUGCGUAGAGAUCUGGAGGAAUACCGAUGGCGAAAGCAGCCCUCUGGCCUAAUUCUGACGCUGAGGUACGAACGCAUGGGGAGCAAACAGG